rnacentral:rRNA from 1 species
CCCUAUGGGGUGCUCAGCGCUCGACGAGGAUCGUGGGGACGACGGACAUCCCCACCCGCAGCAGGUGAUCCGGGUCGCUCCCCUCGUCGAUGGAGAUCCGGACGGGGAUCCGCUGGACGAUCUUGACGUAGUUGCCCGUGGCGUUCUCGGGCGGGAACAGGGAAAACGCCGAGCCCGUGCCGGCCAUGAUGCUGUUGACGCGGCCGCGGAAGACCUUGCCGGGGUAAGUGUCCACCUUGGACUCCACUUUCUGGCCCGGCAGGACGUCCUUCAGUUCCGUCUCCUUGUAGUUCGCCGUAACCCAGAUCUUCUCCUGGGCCAGCGGCACGACGGCCAGCAGGGGCUGGCCCGCCUGCACCUGGUUUCCCACCUCGGCGCUUCGCUUCGUCACGUACCCCUCGGCGGGAGGGC